rnacentral:lncRNA from 1 species
CUUGGACAAAGAUCAUAGUGCACAAACUAAAUACGACAAAAUAAAUAAUCUUAAACUGAUAUUGGUUGAUACUUUUUGGAUUCAAUGCCAUUAGCAUAGCUAUAUCAUAAUAAAACUUGGUUCCAAAGCAAGUUUACUUCAUUCUUUGCCGUCAGCAGCACGAAGUGACCCGAGCUGGACCGGUGCUUGGGUUCCUACCACCUUAGAUGAUCCAUAAACAGAUAGAUCAAUGCCUUGAGCCUUCUCUUUCUCAAUCUGUUCCUUGAUCCAGAAAUAUGUAAUUCUCAGCCCAUCCUAUAAAAACAGUAAAACCAGAUGCGUCACAAGUGAAUCAGGAACUGAAUGAAACUAGGUAAUAACCGGCCAAAAGCAAUGACUUCAGACUUUUUUACUCUACAGGCAAUGGAGGAAAACCAUUUUCCAAAACCAGAGGUCAUAAAAAUCUUUUUAAACUGGGAAAAUCGUGUGGGGAUAAUAUAAUUCAGUUACCUUCAACCUCAUUGUAGGGGCCCAACCAAGUUUUUCUUUGAUCAAUGUAUUGUCUGAAUUACGACCACGGACACCCUCUGGACCAGGGAUAUGGUGGAUCGGAAGCUUUUUAUCUUCAAAGCUAAGCACAAUCUCCGCCAUCUCGUUCAUGCUAACCAUCUCAUCACUUCCGAUGUUCACAGGCUCACGGAAAUCGGACUUUGUCAAUCUGAAUGCAUAAUAUAGAGAAAGAUUGAUUAAUAUUAGCAAAUCUCAAACUGAAAUCAAGCGGCUAGUAAAUGCCAAAACAAGUGUCUAAAAGUUUUUCUUCUAAAGCAUAAAAUACAGUAUACAAUUUAAAUUCUAAUCACCAAAAUCAUAAUUUCCCAAAUUGCAUACUCAACUAGCAUAGCAAACUAUGAAACCAGGAAAUAUGCCCUAUUUGAUUCCUCAAUGUUUAUAUUAUAAGCCAAAUCCAUGCAGAUUUAACAUUUACUAAAAGCAAGCCCUUUAGUUUUUCUCUUCAAAUUUGUUGUGUAAAAUGAGUUUCAGCAGGAGGAGCUUUGAAAAUUGCCCAAAAACUUACCUAAGUACACCUUCAACACAUUCAUCAAUGAAAGUGAAAGAUCGAGUCUGAAGACCAUCUCCCCACAUCUCAAACUUGUCAAUGGAAGUAAUAGCCUUUCUGCAAAAGGCAGCUGGAGCCUUCUCCCUUCCACCUAUUAAGGUUGAUACAAGAAAAGAAAAAAAAUUAGUAAGUUCCAAAAUCGAAAAAAAUACAUAAGCACUCAUCAAAACUAAGGGUUUACCUUUCCAAGUUCCAAAAGGGCCGUAAAUGUUGUGGAACCUUCCAAUGCGACAUUCAAUUCCAAAGUCUUCGGUGUAAUGCUUGCACAACUCCUCUGUUGCAAGCUUCUCCAAGCCGUAAGCAUCUUGUGGCUAAAACCAAGGUUUAAAACACGACAAUCAGUAGUUAUAUUGGAUUAACUAAUAGAACAUAAGAUUACCGGAUAGUAUUUAAUGAAUUUGAGUCACAAACCUCAGCAGGCCAGGCAUCGGAUUCUUUCAAGCUCACAUUAGUUUCCAAUUGCUUAAAUUCAGGAUAGAUACAAGCACUGGAGGCGUAAAAAAACCUAAACAUACCAAGAUAUUGAGUUUAAACAAACUGUAAACUUAGUGGAAUUGCAAUGAAUGUAAGGCAAUCAUAUGAUACGAUGUACCAAUCCAAACAAACCUCUUAACUCCACUGAUUCGAGCAGCCUCGAGCAUGUUGAAACUGAUCAUUGUGUUGUUGUACAUAAUGACAGAGUGGUUGGACUGGAUGAAGCCCAUGCCACCCAUAUCAGCGGCAAGGUUGAAAACAUGAUCCACUCCAUUGGUAACCUUCAAGCAAUUUUCCAUCACUCGAAGAUCAACAAGAUGGAAUUCGUGACAGAACAUAUCUUCUGUCAUGUGCUCAUUCUUCUUCCAAUCAGAAGCAAUGAUGUAAUGUCCUUCACUCUUCAGACGUCGAGCGAUGUGCGAAGCGAUGAAGCCACCAGCACCGGUGAUGGAAAUUCGGAGUUUCUCGGAUGGCCAGUAAGGCUCCCUCUCCAGGGCAUCAUAGGUGUAAGCACCAUAGCUGGUCCCAUCAGUACUUCCCAUUCUGCAUAUGCUCAAUUGAAAAUUUACGCAACUUAUAUAGUACAAAAUAAAUAUAAAAAUUCAAGCUUUCAUGUAUCUAUCUAUCUAUCUAUAUAUAUAUACUACUUUAUCUAGUAAAUCCAAAUUAGCUGAAAAAAUUUACAUUAUCAUCCAUAUAAUUCACCAAAAAAUAUCCUAAUUCAGAACAAAAAUCAAAGAAACAGAUAACUUAAAUCCACCAAAUUUUAAAAAAGAAAAUCUUGCAAAGCAAAUCUUUAUGAACCCAAAAUUUUGUUCACUAAUAGCAGUAACUAAAGCACCAUAAAAACAAAAUCUUUAUGAAUCGACCGUGCUGUAUUUAGAUCUCCGAAAACAAAUAGAGGAAGAGGUGAUAGGGUUUAAACGACCCACACAGUUGAGGCCGUUAAUUUGAGUUGGGUUCUUCAGAACGCAAGGCUACCAGAAUCUUGAAUCAGGGACACGUGUAUCUCUGUUAGAUAAUCGGUAAGGGUUGGUUUGCAGGUCGUACCGGGACCAGCUACGAGAGGAAGAAUUGGUGGUUAGGACGUUCUUAACCACUAUAACCAGCUUAUCGUUUGAAGGAGAAUAUCAAUUUUCGAGGAUCGAUUCUCAACACGGAAUUUACCGAGUCUAAGGCUAAGGCUCAUUACAUUUGAUUGCAAAUCCCAAUUUAAUUUCUGAUUUAUUUAAUUAUUUAUCUUAGCAGUUUUGAUUAUUUAAUUUCUAGUCAAUUUCAAAAUCCCCCGCUUUACUUAUUUAUUUGCUUAUUUUUCAGCUGGUACGUUUUGAGUCGUGGGCACAACUCUAGCCACGACCCUUGACACGACAUUCUGUUUAUAAGCCAAACUCGAAAGUUGAUUAGAGUACCAAUCCCUGUGGACUCGACCCUACUACUACCACUCUUACUACUAUCCAGAGUAUUUAGUAUGAAUUAUAUUUGGUGGAUUUGACGUCCAUCAUUUUCAUUUUCAAAAUAAUUAACAUCAUCAAGUUAAUACAACUUGUUGACUAGACAAGUAAGUUAAAUAAGCACAUAACUAAAUCAGAGGCGAAUAAGUGGGGGCUGGCAGGUCCUUGUCCCCCCUAAAAUGGAAAAUUUCUAUUUAGGCUAUUGAAAUUUUUUUAAAAUUUUAAAUUAAUAAAUGUAAAAUUGUACUUUGCCCCCCUAAAAUUAUAAAAAUUUAACUUAAUCCUUUAAAAAUUAUAAAGAUAUAGACUAUAAAAAAUUAAAAUUUUAUUCGGCCCCCUAAAAAUUUGUUCUAGCUUUACUCCUAAACUGAAUAAAUAAUUAGAAAAUAUCGAAACAAUCGACGAGAAAAUUGAUUAAUUAACUAGGAAAUAUAAUCCAUUAUUGUUUUAAGACAAUAAAAUCUAGUUCGUGUUGAAUUGAGAAAAUCACACAAAAAGAAAUUUAAAACAAACUUGCAUAAAUACAAAGUAAUAAGAAAUAAUAUAGAGAGAAAAAUAGUUAUAGAAUUUAUGCCGAUUACUCCAAACCUCUUUUUCUUCUAUCUUUGCAAUCUUGAAGUUUUUUUUUGGUGUGAGAGAGUUGUUUCUUAGCCUCCAAGUGAUUUCUUUUUCUUUUCCUUCUUUUUUUUCCUUAAAUCUCAUCACAAUGGAUUGCUUGCUAUCAAAUUUCUAAAUUGAAGAGUAUGCAUGGUCCACUGCAUUGAAUUAAAUCCGGUGGAGCGGAAGGCUUCUCUUCACGACUUCUUACUCUAAACUCUAAGUUUUCCAUACUUCAUCCGAGGCCUACAAUAGAAAAAAGAAAAAUUACAAGUGAAUCUAAGUUAACUCUAAAAAUGAUAAAAACAAGCAAAAUUCAAAUAAAAUAUAAUUAAUUCGAAAAACUAUAAGAUAUAAUAAAAAGUAAUCUAAAUGCUAAAUUUACUUUUUACAAUAAAAUAUUAUGAUUGUUUUUGUUUUUCUUUGUUAUUUUUGGUAUAUUUCAUGUUUCUUCUUUUUACUUGAAUUUUGAGAUUUCUUUUAGGUUAUGUUAGAUUAUAUUUUAGAAUUCUUUGACCUAGAUCUUAAGAAUCAAAUAACAUAAUUUUUUUUAAAAAAAUCAGAUCUUAGGACUUAAAUAGGUUAAAGUUUUAUUUUUCUCAUUUAUAUUUUAGGAUUCAAAUAGGUUAAAUUUUACUUUUCUAAUUUAGAUCUUAAGGUUCAAAUAGGGUAGAAAUUUGUUUUUUCUAAUUUAAAUCUUAGGAUUAAAUUUUAUUUUUUCUAAUUCGGUAAACUAAAAAAUAGUCACUUUUGUUUGUCUCAGAUUACAUUUUAGUCACUUAUGUUUGAAAUAUACAUUUUAGUUACUUACAUUAUCGUUUUGUUACGAAGUGAUCACUCUACCGUUAAACUCUGUUACCUCACUAACGACAAUCCUACAUGGCAAUCCAAAUGGGUUUUAAAUGUCAACUUGGAUGUUUAGUUGUUGGGAUAAAAAUAGGUUUUUAAUUAAAUAAAUUUAAUUUAGACUGUGACUAAAACGUAACAUUUCAAACCUAAGUGACUAAAAUGUAAUGUGAAGCAAACAAAAGUAACUAUUUUUAUGGUUUACCCUUUCUAAUUUAAAUCUCAGGAUUUAAACAGGUUAGAAUUUCUUUUUCUUUUUUUUUUUUAAUUUAGAUGCUAGGUUGAUAUAGGUUAACUUUCUCUUUCCCUACUUAGAUCUUAGGCUAUAGAGGUUAGAAUUUUAAUUUUCUAUCAAUUAAAUCAUAGGUUCUUAUAGGUUAGAAUUUAAACUUCCAUUAUUAGGUUAGAAUUAAAAUUGAUUAGCUCUUAGGAUUCAAUGGGUAUUUUGAUUUUUUUUAAUAGUAUUGAAUUUUGAGCCUGUAAUGACAAUAUAUCGCAAAGAAAAGUGAAAGAAAAAUAAAGAAAAUAGAUUUUUACGUGGAAACUUUUCCGGGAAAAAAUUACGGGCAGAUAAAAUGAAAAUCCACUAUGUCGAAUUCAAAUAAUUACAAGAGGAGUAGACUAUGUCUAUUUAUAGGCUUGUAAAAUCAUAUUCUAAAAGGAGUGUAAUAAGUAAUCAAUAUCAAAUAGAUGGAGUUUAAUAAGAUUUAAAAAACCUUAUUCUAAAAUAAAAUAAAAGAAGUGUAGUUUUAUAUGUAGGGGCGUAGCCAGGGGGCUGGCAUGGGCCCCGGCCCCCCUAAAAUAGAAAAUUACAUUUUAGGCCCUUAAAAUUUUUAAAAAUUUUAAAUUAGUAAAGGUAAAAUUGCACUUUGGCCUCCCCUCUAAAAUUAUAAAAAUUCAAUUUAAUCCUUUACAAAUUAUAAAAAUAUAAACUAUAAAAAAUUAAAAUUUCAUCCGGCCCCCCUAAAAAAAUUUUCUGGCUUCGGCCCUGUUUAUAUGGAUUUUACUUUUAUUUUAUUUUACCACUAUAUUUUAUUUAAAUAAAAAUUCGAGUCACUCAAUUCUAACAGAGCUUUUAAAAGGUUAAAUUUCGAUUUAGGAUUAUUGGAGUCAAUUUUGAGAUUUUUGAAUUAGAAAUAUUAAACACCGAAUUUUGUAAGAUUAUCUUUAGACAGGCGUUGUAGGAAUGCUAUAAUCUUUUUUACAUUUAAUUGUACUCUCGAACUUCAAUUUUGAUACGAGCCCGAAUCUAGUUUUUUAAGAUUUUUCCUUAAGAAUAGUUCUAAAAUUGUAGGCAAUAGGCAACUACCUGACUUAGUUUAAGUUGGUUAGUGAUGAUUCUAUUUAUGUUUAGGUUUCAAAUUGUACAUUAAACUAAAAUUAAUGUAUAAUUUAUAAAUCUGAUAUUUAUUUUUAAAUUUUAUUUAAAAUAAUUUUUUAUUUGAUUUUAUAUUAUGUUGUGUAUUCAAAUUUUAAUGGAUUUACAUAUUCGACGAAUAAUAAUACUUAAUUCAAUAUAAGGUUAGUGAGAGUAUACCACAUGCGAGUCCUCAAACUACCCAAGAGGUGCUCAACUAUAGGUUAUAUAUGUGCAUUAUUUGGACAACUUUCCAUGAAUUCGUCAUUGUUCUCUUUUCGAAAUUUAGAGUUUAAACUUUCUAAUUGUUAUUACAUUGUGAUUUAAACUAAUUUUUUAUUAAAUUAAUCUUUAAACUAAUAAUUGCUCCUAUAUUUAAGUCUUAAUUUUUUUCUUUAAGUUAAUAUUUGAAAUUAAUUGUUUUUAAAUUGAGGUUUGAAUUUUCUUUAUUUAACUUUUUUUUUAAAACAAAUAUAAAGGACUAAUUUUGAUAGAAAAAUUUUAAGCUGUGAAAACAAUUUUUAAAUUCAGGGAUAAGAAAAGGUUACAAAACCAAAUUAAAUAUUAAUAAUUGAGCUUUGAAAGAAAUAAUCUCUUAAUAAAAUAGUUUUUAAUUGAUUGAGGAUAGAGUGAUGUAACUCAGUGGAAUCUUUUCGAAGUUAAAAUUGAAGUAAAUGAUUGAAUAGAAUUUAUAAAAGUAUUUUUUUGAAGUUCUUGAGAAAAGUUAAAUGAUAUUUUCAUUAAAAAUUAAGUAAUUACUUAAUUAAUGCAUGACAAUGACUAUAUUGGGCUAUAAGUAACUUGUUUUAGUAGUAUGUUAGUCAAUUCAAAUGAGAGAAAAGAAGAGAUCAAGAACUAUAUUAGAACAAUAAAAACAUACAUUGAUUAAACAAUAGCUACAACUCUAUUCGUCCAAGUAAACACGAUACAAAAUAUGACGCAACACCAUCAUCAACACUGAACCCUCCAUUAAUGACAAUCCAAAGCUUUAGUAUGUUUCUUGGGAAAUCCAUUCAUCCCAACACCCAUGAAACUUUGCUUCUAAACCUAGGCGCUCUUCUUUGGUGGUGUAUUGCCAUAUUUCCAAGUGAAUUGCUUUAAAUCAUCAGGAUAAGUACCCCCUGCAACCUCUUGGAUUGGGAUCGCAUCUGAAAUUUCUUUCAAAUCUUCUUUUGUCAGCUUUACUUUCACUGAUUCAAUGUUGCUGUCUAGAUUUUUAAUCUUGGUUGUUCCUGUAAGAAGUGAAAACAAUGUGUCAAAAGCUUUGGUUUUAAAUCUCAAUGCAAACUGGCCGUUGGUCCAGGAACUUGUAUCGGAGUGUCCAACACGGAUAUGUUCAUUUUCCUAAGGUUUUACAUAUAUCUGGAGGAAUAUGCUAGAAAAGUCUAUGCUAUUUCUGCAGGUUACUAACUUACUCUGACUGUUUUUUCUUCGAGUAUCCGUGUCUAAUACCCAACAUAUUUUGACAUGAGUAUUGAAACAAUCCUCCAAAUAUAUGAAAAACUUCAAAAAAUAUAAGAGUUCACUUAUAUUGUAUCACCUCGGAUUCCGAGUUGAAAGUGAUUGAAUGGGACUUACCGGGAAUAGGAGAAACAUCAUCCCCUUGGUGAAGAACCCAGGCAAGUGCAAGUUGUGCCGGUGUACAUCCAUGCUUUUCAGCCAACUUCUCUACUUUCGAAUAUAGGAUCCUAUUUUGCUCCAAGUUUUCUCCUUGAAACCUUGGGUACACUUCCUUAAAAAAUAAAUGUUUGUAAUGAGUCAACGUUUGUAAUGAGUCAACCGAUCUGUUUUUUACAACUUAGAAGCAUGUUACUAUGUUAUCCGAACUCUUCAUUUUCUUUAAUUACUCAUAUCCAACAUGUCUCUGACACAUAAUUGGAUAUAAGUAUGAGAGUAACAUCCUUCAAAUAAAUGAAAAUGAAACUUAAAAAAAAACUGAAUAUAUUCAUGCCGGACACAUAUCUGUAUCCAACACUUACUCCUGAACCCAUAUAACAUAGAUUAAGUAUAGGUUAAAGCCAUAUAAAGUGAGUUUCCAUACCAGAGAACUAUUCGAGGUAUCCUCCUUUGCUUUACCGGCAAAGAAACCAUGACCAAGGGGACUAUAUGCAACAAUCCCAAUUCCGAGUUCCCUGUAUUGUUGAACACAUUUAGGCAGGCAUAACCUCACAGCAGUUGAAGGAGUUAAAACAGUUGAUAACUUGAGAAAAGACAAUCAAUAAGUGAAUUUCAAUAUAUUUGAGCAAAAGGGUAUAUUUAUAUCCCUCCAAAUAUAUAAAAAUUUGAAUAUAUCUAUAUUCGAAUAAAAAAAAAAGUUAACGAUGAUUGAAGAUAGAAGAACAAACCUGCAAAGGGGAAUUAGUUCUUCCUCAACAUCACGAGUCCAAAGCGACCACUCAAGUUGUACGGCAGUAAGAGGAUGAACAGCGUGUGCCCUCCUUAUAGUUUCGGGGCUAGCUUCAGAUAUACCAAUGUACUUUAUUUUUCCCUCUUCCACCAACUUCUUCAGUUCUUCCAUCUAUCAUACAUGAAAUAAAUAUAAAUUAUGCUUAAUUUUCCCAUAAACAAAAUAAAAUCGUAUUUGUGUUAAAGAAAGACAAAAUAGGGUCUUUAAUGCAGCAAUGCUUACAGUAUCUUCUAUAGGAGUCUUGCGGUCAACUCUGAUUAUAUAGUAAAGAUCAAUAUAAUCCACAUCGAGGCGUUGAAGGCUAGCCUCAAGUGAAGAACGAACAAAUUCAGGAGUGCCAUUGAUAACCGGACCAUCUGGACCCAUGCUUUCAACACCGAAUUUUGUAGCCAACUGUACCUUCUCUCGUGGCAGAUGCUUCAAUGCCUGCAAAAAAAGAAAUGAUGUUGGUUUCCCAUAUUCCUUUAACGAGCCAAGAAUAAGAACGAAAACAUUAAAUCACAUCGAUUUGAUAAACUAAAAAAAUCCAUCUCUCACGCAUAUCUUCGAACAUGUAACAGAAACAAGAGUGUUGGAAAUUGAGAACAUGAAAGAAUCGCUCUCAGUUUCAAUGUGAUUCAACUUGAAGAGAUGACGAAAGGAUACCUUUCCGACCAGAAUUUCGUUAGUUUUGGGUCCAUAGAGGUCGGCUGUAUCGAUGUGAGUGACUCCUCUUUCGACUGCAUGCUUAAUGAUGGCUAUGCCAUCUUCAUCUGACACUGAAUGAUCGUGACCUGUAAGACUCAUGCACCCAAAUCCCAGCUUUGAAACCUGCAGCAACCAAAAAAUAAUAGAUUUUACCCCCCAAAAGAAAACGCCAUUUUCUUAACUAAUAUAAACUAGUAGGAAACAAAAUCUCAAACCUCAAAUCCUUGAGUUCCAAGUUUCACUCUAGGAAUCUCAAUUGCCAUCUUUUGUUUCCUUUUUCUUCUUCUUCUUUGUGUGCUAUAAACAAAGGCUUCUCUGAUUACUGAACCUCUCAAAACUUACAUUAAAUAGAAAAUUUUGAGGUCUUUAUCCAGUAUCUUAUCUUGUUCUCAGCUUUGUCAAUAUUCUUACGUCAUUAAGUAUGUCAUCCCAUAUGCCUCAAUUGAAUGAGUGGAUAAAGCUCUUUUUCAGACACGUUUGACACUGUUUAAAUUGGUUAAAUAUAUCAUUUGAUUUUUUUUUCUAAUUUGAUAUUUGUGUUAUUUUAAGGUAAAUUAUAAAAAUAGUCACUAAACUAGGGUAAAAUUUUUUUUUGCCUCUGAACUAUGAAAAAUUACAUUUUUAUCCUUAAAGUUAUCUACUUAUAACAUUUCGAUCACUCAUCUAUUAAUAAGAAAAGUGAGGUGGGGUACAUUAAUUUAAAGGUGAAUAUCUAAUUUGAUCAUUAAACUAUAGCUAAGAUAUUUAAUUUGAUACUUUUACAACGUUUUUAAUAAGAAAAAAAUAAAAAUUUUAAAAUAUAAAAAAAUCCUAAAAAUUCAUUAUUUUUUUUUUAAAUUAUAAAAAUAUUUUUAAAAAUUGUAAUUAUGUAAAAAAAAUUAUAAAAUUUUUAUAACAAGCAAAACACGUAUUUUACAAAUUAAAAGAAAAAUACAUUUUUAUUGGUAUAGCGUAGAACCAUUUUGUUAAAUCUGAUCAACUUGUCUGCCACUGUAGCUUUCAGUGCUGAAAAGCAAGCCAAGCCUUUUCCUUUGAGCAGCUACUGGGAAAUCGACAAUAAUUGAACUAUUUAGACCCAAGCUGCGUUACAGCCGCGCAGCUCUACGUAAAGUCAUGGUCACAUAGUGUAAAUACGUAUUUUGUUUAUUAUAUAAUUUUUAUAAUUUUUUGUUUUAUUUUUUACAUGAUUAUAAUUUUAAAAAAAUAUAAUUUCAAAUAAAUGAUGAAUUUUCAAAAUAAUUUAAGAUUUUUUAUAUUUUUAGAAUUUUUAAUUUUUUUUCGAAAUUAUUGUUAAAAAUGUUAUAAAAGUACUAAAUUGAAUGUUUAAGCUAUAAUUUAGGGAUUAAAUUGGAUAUUAAUCCUUGAAUUAGCGGCCAAAGCGUUAUAAGUUGAUAACUUUAGUGAUCAAAAUAUAACUUUUCAUAGUUUAAUAAAAAAAAUCACCAAAGUUUAGUGACCAUUUUUAUAGUUUACCCUUAAUUUUAUUCAAUAUGUUACUUGACAAAAAAAAAAAAAGAAAAUGUCAUCUCAUAAUUUUUUUGUUUGAUAUAACAUUAGUUACUCAAAGUUUAACAUUUUUUUUUAACGCGGUACCUAUUUUAUUUUUAUCCAAUAUAAUACUUGCAUCUGAAAAAAAUUAUAUAUUUUCGUAUUUAAAAAUAAAAAUAUUAAUUUUUUAAAUUCCUGUUUUAAGAUUAAUUUAGUGAAAAAUAACUUCUAAUAUUUUAUGUUUGAAUUUUUCAUGAUUUUCUUAAUAGAAUAAAUUUAGUGUUAUCUGUAAAUUUGUUUAGUUUUGCAUUAAAUUAUUCAAACACAACCUAAUGGAUAUGAUUUAAUUCAAGUUUUAAGAUCUAUGUGAUGAAAUUUAAUUACUAAUAUUAUUAGCCAAUUACGAAUUUUCAUCCAACUCUAAAAUUCAGAUUAAACAUUAAAAAGUUGACAUCUUUAACUUUAGAUAUUAGUACAAAUUUUCAUCCAAUUCUAAAAUCUGGAUUAAACAUUAAAAAGUUAACAUUUUUAGCUUUUGAUAUCAAAAUAAUAUAUAACUUUUGUCAAAUAUAAGUAUCAUGUUAAAAAUAAAAAAAAUAAGUAUCACUUCUUAAAAUAGAAAUUUCCUAUUUCGGCCCUUUAUAAUUUAUAAAAUUUUAAAUUAAUAAUAGUAAAAUUAGCACUUUGCCUACCAAAAAAUAAAAAUUUAAUUCAAUUCUUUAAAAAUUAUAAAGAUAUUGACUAAUAAAAUGAUAAAAUUAUAUUUUUACUAUCAUAAAAAUAUAAAUUUAAUUUUGACCCCCUAAAAAGAUUUUCUAACCCCACCACCGACCAUUUUAGAAAAAUCAGUAUCAAAUACCAAAUAUAUAUAUUUAAUCUUUUUUUAAUAUUUUUCACGAAAAUAAACAAUUAAUCGUGCUUUAUCAUCCCAUAUUUAAAAUAUAUUUUUCAUAUUUAAUUACUUGUUUUUGACUUCUAGAAGUAAAAAUAUUUCGAAAAAGAAUGGACUAUAGAUGGUCCAAAGAGUUGGCAGACAAUGGAAGAUUCUAAAUACAAUUGUCCUUUGGUAGAAAAUCAACAUUGGCGUAACUUCUAGAAUCUUAAGCUUGAGCUGUCGAGUUUUAACCACCUCCUAAAUUGACACCCAUACUUCACAUGCGAUUGUAUUUGAAAUUAUAUUUAAUAAUAAUAAUAUGUGAAAUAAAAUUAGAAUCAUUUUGAAAAUUCUGGAUAUAUCAUCAUAAUAUAAAUACAUGGACGUGUUAAAAUUUGCAUAAAAUAAAUUAUAAAUUUAUCAAAAAUUAAUAUUAUUUUUAUAUAAUUUUUAAAUUACUCAUAACCUCUAACCUUUACAUUGAAGGAUAUUACACAAUUAGAUACUUUAAAUUCACGACUUCUCAAUUGUUACAUCAGUAAUGAUGUCAACUGAGUUAAUAUUCAAUUAGUUAUAUUAUUAAAUAUUACUAGAUUUAUGACAUACUCGUGGGUGAAAAAAAUCAUGUAACAAAUAUAUUUACUAAAAUAUAACUUAAUUUAUAUAUAAAAUAAUAUUUUAAUAAUUUUAUAAUUAAAUUAAUGCAUGAUUGACAUUCAUAUAAACUCAACAAAUAUAUAUUAUCGCGCAAAAAGUAAUACUAAUAUGAUCGGACCAACUAUUAUCGUAAUUCAUAAUUAUUCUUCAAAUAUUUGUUGUUGUCUCUUUCAUAAAAGGUUAAUUCAAAUUAAGGAAUUUCACCAACAAGUGUGGGUGCAAUAGUAAGGUAUAUUGUACUUUCAAAGAGAUAUAUAGUUUCAAAUCUUGAAGAUAACAUUGUUGAGAUGAAUAGUCACGCACAUGAACUGUAAAACGAACAUGAAAAAUACAAAAAAAUUUAAGGAAUCCCAUAAUCCUGGAUAGUUCUAUAGAUAUGUAUUUAUUAGAAAAUACUUCAACCGCGUAUUGAGAAAUUUAAAUUUUUAAAAUUAAUAUUUAUAUUAAAAAUAUAUUUAAGAGUUACAUAUGAAUUUUAAUUUAAUAUGUAAUUAAAUAUAUAAAUUUUGAAUUGACACAAUUAUAUAUAUAAAACUUUAAUUUUGAUUUAAUUUUACACAUCUAAAUAAAUAUAUAUUGAUAUUGGAUAAAUAUAAUUAUUUGUAUAUGUAAUCAGAGGCGAAUCCAGGGGGCUCUUAAAAUGGAAAUUUGUUGUUUUGGCCCUUUAAAAAUUUUUAAAAUUUUAAAUUAAUAAAGGUAAAAUUUUACUUUGGCCCCCUAAAAUUAUGAAAAUUUAAUUUAAUCCGUUAAAAAUUAUAAGAUAUAGACUAUUAAAAAUUAAAAUUUUAUUUCAGCCCCCUAAAAAAAUUUCUAGCUUCUCCCCUAUAUGUAAUAUGUGAAUAUUAAAUGGCGUUUGUUUAGAUAAUGGUGCUAGUGAUUAAUGAAAAUUACAUCAAAUUAAAAUUUUAUGUAUAAAAUUACACAUAAUCAAAAUUUAUUUAUCGUAUUUCAUAUUAAAUCAAAUUCAUAUGUAAUUUUAAUAUUUACCCUUAUAUAAAUUUUAGAUAUAUGAAUUUAUCCAUCAUAAAUUAUGUAAAAUAGGAGAAGAAUUGAGAGAAAUAAUAGAAAAUAAUGGAAACGCAAAUAUAAGCAUAUAAAUACUUAAGUAACAUUAUAAUACUUUGAACAUAAGUAAAAAAAAUUUAUAGAAAGUUUUAAAAAUAAUAAAUAUGUUUUAUUUUCAUUUUUAUAUUUAUACUUAUAAUUUAUUAUAAUUUAAUAAUUUUUUAUGAUUUUUUUUAUAUUUUUACAAGUUUAUAUAAAUUUUUAAUUUUUAUUAUUUUAAUGAUUUUUUAUGGAAAAAAUUAUAAGAUCAAACCAACAACUACCCUAUAUCACCAUCUAAUUGGUCAAUCAAUUAAUUUUAAUAGUUAAACCCGAUAACAAACAGAAACAAUUAAGUGAAAAAUCCAAACAAAGCCAAAAAUUUUGUAAUUUUAUUCAAAUUCCCAAGGAUAAAAUCUAUUCUUUAUCUAUUUAAAUAAAAAUAAAUCUAAUCUUAAUUAAAUUCUUAACAAAAUAUUUUUAUAAAUUACAAAUAAAAAACAAAACAAAAUAAUCAAAAAAAUCUUAUACAAAAAUUUUUGCUCACAAGCCAAAUCUUGGCAAUGAUAUUAAGUUUCAGACUAUAUUCUAAUAUUCUAGAUAUGUGCUACACCGACAUAUAAAAUAGACCACUAAACACCAAAUUUAGUAACAUUUAUAUUUAAAAUUCAUUAGAAUUAACGACAAAAAUGUGCCAAUCAAUCUCAGAUAGGAACAAGGUUGCUGACUUUUCACUAAUGUCGGUUGUUGCUUCUUUUCUAGAGUGAACCACAAAUCAAUUUGUUGUUUCUCCCUUUUUUUUUUUUUUAUUCCCUUCCAUCAUUUCCUAAUCUCAUAAAUUUCAUCUUAUAAAAUUUGACUAUUUUUUCGUUAAAUGAAGGGUACGGAAUAAAUCAGAUUAAAUUUUAGAUCAAAAGUACCAUAUGAAAUCUUUAUAAGUACAACAUCUGAAGGAAUAAAAAAAAACUUUUUCCAUCGUAUCUAUAUGAAUUCAACUAAUUAAAAAUAAAAAUCAAAAGGUGAAGAAUAUGAUUGCAAAAUACAAGAGAAAAAUUGGUUUCCCAACGCAGCCAAAGUCUAAAAGUUGUCCCUAAUGCAAUAGCAGCUUUAAUUUGAAAAUUGAAUAUCUAAUUUUAAGCCAAGUAAGUAAAGGUGUUUUUAAGGUGGGUUUAGUUUUUUCAUGAAAAGGCACGAGUUUAUAAAGAUCACAAUGUUCAAAAGUGUCGACUUUUUUAAAAGUGGUUUGAGUUUAGGUGAGUUUAGUCAUGUUUUUAAAAUGUGAUUUUAUUAAGUGUUAUAAAAAAAGUGUUUUUAAAAAUUUUGAUUUAAGAUUUGUGUAUUUAGUAUUACUAUUAAGAAGUGUUUUUGAAGAAUAAAAUAUUUAUUUUAUACAUGUUAUUAUCAAAUAACAAAUUUACAUUUAAAUAAUGUUUAAAUUAGUUAAAAUAUAAGAAUAUAAAAAAAUUAUUAUAACCUGUUAGUAUUUUAAUAUAUAAAAUAUAAAUUUUGAAUUUUUUUAAGCAAUAAAUAUUAAUUAUUUAUAAAAUUUAAUUAAAAUAUAUAAAUUAUAUUUUAAAUAUUUAAAUAUAACUAUUUAAUAUUUGUAAUUAGAUAUUAACACGUUUGUAUUAUUUUAGAAAAUAUUUUUUAUUUUUAAUUACUGAUCUUAAUACAUUUGUAAUUAAGUAUUAAGAAAAAAGAAGAAGUGAAAAUACUAUGUUAUUGGAAAUGUGAAAAAGUAAUUAAGUACCAAAAGAGCUUUUGGGAGAGGAAAAGCUAAAAAUAUUAGCUCCUUCUUUUCAAAAAUAUUUUUGAAAAGACAAAAAUUUUAGCUAAAAACAACUUGUUUAAUACAACUUUUCUUUCAAAAGUACUUUUGCAGCCAAGAAUGCUUUUUUUAAGCACUGCUAAGUUUGAUUGAUAUGAGCAUUAUUGUUAAUAUAGAAUAGCAUGGCUUUGGCUGUGCUGAAAUACAUUAUCCUCUUAUUUAUAAGUUGAGAAGGGACUAUAGAUAGUUCUGGACAUUUUGUCUAAAAAAGAGCAGAUAGAACUAGAACUUAUAAUGAGAUUGUUCAAAAAAAAUUGAAGAAAAAGUUUAGUUACGUGGUGAAUUGGAUGUUUACCACUUGUGAUUAAAACUAAAAUUUUAAGAUAAAUUGUUCUAUUACUCACUAAAUUAUGUGUAAAUUUUUGUUUUGAUUAUCUAACUGAAAAAAGCUACAAUUGGUCACUAAACUCUUUGCAAGUUUUCGUUUAAGUUAAUUAAAAUUAAUUCUAUAUGGUUUUCUAUAUUCGCACUGUUUUAACCAAUUAAAAACUCUUUCCCCCCUUCUCUUCUAUAAUUCAAUUUUUUAAUGGAAUAAAUUUGGAUGUCAUGAAUAUACGAACUAAAAAUCAAACAACUUUUUUCUCUGAUUUCUGACACUGAUUGUCAGAUUGACUUGGAUCUAAGAUAAGUUUUUCUAUUAGUCGAUAGGUAUUGAUCCAUUGUACCAAUCAUUAACUCAUUACUGAGCAUGUCGGUAGAAUUUAAGAAAAAAAAACUUAACAACCCAAUUACUUAAACAAAAACUUCCAAAUCCUUAAGUGGUCAAAACGAAAAGUUACCCAUAAUUUAGUGACUAAUAAUGUAAUUUACAGCAUUUUAAACCCACGGAGAAAGAGGAAGCUCCGUAAUUUAUUCGAAAACACACGCUGUCCCAUCAAAAUUGAGUAAUUAAAAACAAGCAAAAUGAAGUUUUGCGAUGCCCAAAGCCAACCCUUUGGAUUGUAUGAUUUUUUUUAAUGACUAAAAAAGAGGGAAGGCAAAUGUAACCCUUCAAAUGGAGAAAAGAGGGGGCUUGGCAGGGAAGCAAUGAGAAACCGUCAAUGCAGUGAUUCUCUAAAUUUGAUUGGAUUUUCAAUUUGAAUUGGUUCUCAAAUUUACAUGUUAUUUCUAUUUAAUUUGAUAGAAUCUAUGUUGUUUUGUAUGUUGAUUUUCUUCAAGGCUUGCUAUAUUUUCUUGUUGGUUUCCUUUGCAUGGCCAUAGGUUUGCAAUGUUUUCAUUGAGCUGCGGGCAUGAGAGAUAUGGAGAUUCUUGCAGAAGUUGUCAGAUUUUUUCUAGAAUGAGUGCCAUACUCAAUUAUUAGAAAAUGAGGUAAUCUGUAGCUGUAAAUAAUAGUUUUUCAGAUGAGGUUCUCUAUUUAUUUCUCUGCGAUAGUGGCAAAGGCUUCUACCUCCACCCAUUCCAAGGAGUAUCUUAUAGAAACCACUAUGAACUUCUUCUGUGUUAUAGCUAGCUGGAAAGGACUAAGGAUGUUUUUAACCUUAAGUUGCGAAGGGUCAAAUGCUGGAAAUGAGUUGGAAAUGUGGGUGCAAAUUUUUGGCAUAGCUUGCAUCUCAUGACUAGUCCCAAUGCAUCUUUUUUCAAUUUGGGCCAUUAAUAGCCUAAGCGAAGGACUUUCUAGACAAGGGCCCUUGCACUUGGGUGGAGACCGCAUAUCCUUUCAUGUACUUUCUUGUUCACGUAGUCUGUUUCUUCUAGCGAAGACAUCUUAGUGGCAGAGGUUUCUAACAGGAGAAGUCACUCUAGGUCAGUGUCCCCAUUCUCUUGGCCCUUCGAUCAUAAAGUUGGCUAGACAUGCAGCAACCAACUAUGUAGUGAAUGGUUGGUUGUAGUGUAAAUGUGUUAUUAUAUUGGUCAAUUAAAAUGAGAGAAAAAGAAGAGAUUAAGAAUUGUAUUAGAACAAUAACAACAUACACUUACUAAACAACAUGUAAAACUUCAUUCAUCCAAGUAAAGAAAAUAGAAACUUGGACUUGAUUAUUUUGAACACCGUAAAAGAGAUUAAAACACGAUACAAAGUAUGACACAACAACAUCACAAAUUCUCUUUUGGGUAAUGGAGGCUUCAACUUUCAAUGAACCCCUCCUUAAUGGCAAUCCAAAGCUUUAGUAACUCAUGAAACUUUGUUUUAAAACCUAGGUGCUCUUCUUUGGUGGUGUGUUGCCAUAUUGCCAAGAGUAUUUCUUUAAAGCAUCAGGAUAACUACCACCUGAAACCUCAUGGAUUGGGAUCACAUCUGAAAUUUCUUUCAAAUCUUCUUUUGUCAGCUUUACUUUCACUGAGUCAAUGUUGCUAUCUAGAUUUUUUAUCUUGGUGGUUCCUGUAAGAAGUGAAAACCAAGUGUCAAAAGCUUUGGUCUUAAAUCUUAAUGCAAACAAUAUAUAUAUAAAUUGGAUCACCUCGGAAUCCAAGUUGAAAUUGAUUGAAUGUGACUUACCAGGAAUAGGGGCAACAUCAUCCCCUUGGUGAAGAACCCAGGAAAGUGCAAGUUGUGCCGGUGUACAUCCAUACUUUUCAGCCAACUUCUCUACUUUCGAAUAUAGGAUCCUAUUUUUCUCCAAGUUUUCUCCUUGAAACCUAGGAAACAUUCCCUUAAAAAAGUAGAUGUUUGUAAUUAGUCAAUCAAUCUGUUUUUUCUUUUUUACAACUUAGAAGCAUGUUAUUAUAAAACAUUAAGGUCCUAUGUUAUCCGAACUCUUUAAAUAUUCAUAUCCAACAUGUCUUUGACGCAUAUUCGGAUAUAAAUACAAAGGUAACAUCUUUCAAAUAAAUGAAAAUGGAACCUAGAAAAAAUUGAAUAUACUCAUGUUGGACACAUAUCGGUAUCCAACACUUACUUCCGAAUCCAUAUAACAUAGGUUAUGUAUAAACUAAAGCCAUAUAAAGUAAGUUGCCAUACCAGAAAACUACUAAUAUCUCCCUUUGCUUUACCGGCAAAGAAACCACGACCAAGGGGACUAUAUGGAACAAUCCCAAUCCCAAGUUCCCUGCAUUUAUGAACACAUCUAAGCAUGCAUAAUCUCAUAGCAGCUGGAGUUAAAACUGUUGAUAGCUUGAGUUUUUUGAGUCUUAACAGUACUCGAUCAACAUUUUAAUUUUGACAUAUAUCAACCAAAGGGUAUUACUAUAACCCUCCAAACAUAUAAAACUUUGAUUGAAGAUACCUAUAUUCUAACGAUUAUUAAAGAUAGAAGAAUAAACCUGCAAAGGGGAAUUAUUUCUUCCUCAACAUCACGAGUCCAGAGCGACCACUCGAUUUGUACGGCAGUAAGGGGAUGAACAGCGUGUGCCCUCCUUAUAGUUUCGGGGCUAGCUUCAGAUAUACCAAUGUACUUUAUUUUUCCCUCUUCCACCAACUUCUUCAGUUCUUCCAUCUAUCGUACAUGAAAUAAAUAUAAAUUAUGCUUAAUUUUCCCAUAAACCAAAUAAAAUCGUAUUUGUGUUAAAGAAAGAUAAAAUAGGGGUUUUAAUGCAGCAAUGCUCACGGUAUCCUCUAUAGGAGUAUUGGUGUCAACUCUGAUAAUAUAGUAAAGAUCAAUGUAAUCCACGUCAAGGCGUUGAAGGCUAGCCUCAAGAGAAGAACGAACAAAUUCAGGAGUGCCAUUGAUAACCAGACCACCUGGACCCAUGCUCUCAAUGCCGAAUUUUGUAGCCAAUUGUACCUUCUCUCGUGGCAGAUGCUUCAAUGCCUGCAAAAAAAGUUCCCCAGAUUCCUUCAAAUCAUAUCUAUUUCAUAAACUAAAAAACGCAUCUCUCACGAAUAUCUUCGAGCAUGUAAUUGACACAAAUGUAUGGGACAUUGUGAAAAUGAAAGAAUCCCUCACAGCUCAAUGUAAUUCAACUUGAAGAGCUGAUCAAACAAAGGACGUUACCUUUCCAACCAGAAUUUCGUUAGUUUUGGGUCCAUAAUAGUCAGCUGUAUCGAAGUGAGUGAUCCCUCUUUCGAAUGCAUGCUUAAUGAUAGCUAUGCCAACUUCAUCUGACACUGACACAUUGUAAGCUGAAAGACCCAUACACCCAAAUCCCAGCUUUGAAACCUGCAACCAAAAACAAUGGAUUUUACCUUCAAUGAAAAAGCAUUUUCUUAACUAAUAUAACUAGGAAGAAACAAAAUCUGAAACCUCAAAUCCUUGAGAUCCCAGUUUCACUCUAGGAAUCUGAAUUGCCAUCUUUUUUUCUUGCUUGUUCUUUCUGUUCUACAAACAAAGGCUUCUGUGAUUAUUGAACAACUCCAAACAUACCGUUAAAUAUAUAGAAAAAUUUGAGGCCUUCAUUCCGAAUCCUGUUCUUACGUCAUUAACUAUGUCAUCCCAUAUUUAAUUAUUUGUUUUUGACUUCUAGAAUUGAAGAACCAUUAAGUAUUUGAAAAAACUGGGCGAAGUUUUUGUCAAAAGAGCUAUAGAUCAUGGCGUGUGCUAUUCAUCAACCAACGUCCCAAUAAAAGGGCUGUUUCGUUUCCAUAUUGCUUUUUUUUUCAAAGUCAUCAUUUAGAAAGAAAAAAAAAAUCUGCCUUCAACCAAUACCAAAAUCCUGACUUUCUAGAAAAAAAAAUUUAUUAUUAGAGGGUUAAAAUAUGCAUAUAGUCCCUGUAUUUUUCAAAAAUUAGGAAUUUAGUCUCUCUACUUGUAUUUCCAAGAAUUUAGUCUUUCUACAUUUUAGAUUUUAAAAUUUAGGUCCAACUGUUAGUAUUAUUAUUCUUUGUUAAAUUCUGAUUAAUUACAACAUCUUUUUUUUAAUUACAUGGUUACUAAGGCCUUUUAUUAUUAUUAUUAUUUCAAAAUAUCACAACAACAAAUUUAACAAAAUAAUAAUAAUAACAACAUUAACAAUUAGAUUUGAAUUUUGAAAUAUAAUUUGUAGAACGACUAAAUUCAUAAAAAUACAAGUAUGGGGACUAAAUUUUUAAUUUUUGAAAAGUACAGAAACUAUAAGCACCUUUUAACCCUCUAAAUAAAUUUUUUUCUAGAAAGUCAAGGAUUUUGAUAUUGAUUGUCAAAUGUUGCCCUGAUUGAUAAUUGACGAAUAACUGAUUGUUGAUUGUAGUGGCUGGUUUAAUCAACUGAUUCUAUUAACUGUUUAUAUAUAAUUGUUCGGUUGAUAGUUGAAAGCUGAUAUGUGUAAAAUAACAAAUAAAGGUGUAAACGUCCAAAUUUACCCGGGCCCACAAAUAAAAGCCCAAAAAUAAUUAAAUUACAAACCCAAACAAAAAAAAAACUAAGCCCAAAAUUACAACAGCCCAUAGCCCAAAAACUUAAGAAUUUUCAAUAAAAAAAAAGAGAGGGCAGAAACCUUAGCUCCCAUGUGCGCCGCUCCUCCUCGGGGGCACCGCCCGGGCCUUGUCCCGAGGCCUGACCCCUUUGCUCAGCCUUGCACCGAAAUGGCAAGGCCUCUUCUCCAUUGACCAAGCACAACCUGCAAAGAACACAAAAGCAAAAAUAGAGCAGAGAAAUGGCAGCAAGCAACAAUAGAAAAACGCAGCAGCAAAAGCAAGGCCGAAUAGUGAUAGAACAAUAACAUGUAUUUGGCUAUAAAGCCAUACAAAAACAGAUUGUAAAAAGGGGGAUUUUGAAAAUAAAAAAAAUGAUUGUAUUAAAUACAAUAAAAAAAGAAAUAAAAAGAAAAAAAGAAGCAAUUUUGCAAAAGGUGAUUUUCAUCGUUUUUUUCUCUUUGAUUUUUCUAGGGUUUAUUUCAUUGAUUUCUUCUUAUAUAUAUAUAUAGAUAUCUAUCGAAAUAUAGAAAAGAAAAAAGAGGAGAGAGAUAUCUUUCUCGAGUCGCUUGAAAAGAGGGAUUUUUUGGGCUCUGGCCAGCGACGGCGGAGCCCACGGCGACCAAUGAUCGAGGUUCGGUCGGAAUAGGAAAAGGGGGAGAGAGUUGAGAGGUUUUUUGCAGUUUUCUUAAAAAGAAAUGGGCUGAAAUGAAGUUUUUUUUUAAAAAAAUGGGGGUUUAUAUAAGGCACCAAAACGGCGCCAUUUUGGGAUGGAUUAAAAUGCCCCAAAACGACACCGUAUAAGGCAACCCGAUUUCGACCGACUCCAGAGGGUGGGGAUCCACGUGUUUUCAUUGUUUUCGGGAUAUUUACACCCCAAGUCCCUCCGACUUUUCACCUUCAUUUAAUUCAAUCCUGUUCAUUUCUUUUAUUUUUUUAAAUAUCGCCCCAUAACUUUCGUGCCUAUUUCAUUUUGGCCCAUAUCAAAAAGAUGCACUUUGGGGACGGGGAAUAUUGUCCAUUUGGUCCCUCUUUGUCCGCGUGCAUUACUUUUUGACCCUUCCCUUUUAUUUUAUUUCCGAUUUACCUCUGAAUUCCUGUUUUAAAAUUCAAAUUUGUCCCACUUUAUUAUUUCUGCUAUUUUAUUAAUUAUUUUAAUGUCAUUAUUGUUCUAAUUAUAUUUUCUUUUCACGCCUAUUAUUAUAUUAUCAUAUCAUUAUAUCAUUAAUUGAAUAUAUUAUUACUAUAAUUAUUAUAUUUCCAGAUAUUUUUUUACUCAAAUGCUAUUAUUUAUCUAUUUUUAUCUCUAUCAUUAUUGUAUUUCUAUGUAUUGUAUUUCUAUAUCAUUAUUUUAUAUAUUAUUAUAUACAUAGUUUAUGUUAAAAUUGUUUUUAUUGUAUAUAUAUCAUCGAUUUCAUGUUGCCUUAUAUAUAUAUUUUCUUUUAAAUCAAUUUAUAUAUAUAUAUAUUUUCAAAUCUAUUAUGAAUAUAGUUUAUUUCUUAAAAAAAAAAUUAUUAUUUAAAACUCUUUCAUAUAUUAUUAUCCCUUUUAUAUAUUAUUUAUAUUAAAUUCUAUUGUACAUAUAUUUUCAACUUUAAGUAGACAUAUUUUGUUUUGAAAAUAUUUUGUAUAUUAUUUGAUCCAAAUUCCCUCUUUCAUAACAUCUAUUUUAAUAAUCAUUCAUGCAUUCUUAAUUUUUAUUUUACAUAUGUAUAUUGUUUCGAAUUUUAGCAUGUAUUAUUCAUUUGCAAUUUUUUUCGUAUGGUUUUCAAAUUGAUUUGUAUCAUAUUGGCUCCUACAUAUUGUUUUGUAUAUUAUGUAUUGUUUAAGUUUUCAUGUUACUUCAUAUAUUAUGAAGGCAACAUUUCGUGUUUGAAAAUUUCGAGAAAUUGUGCCCUAUGUGCUGGGUUUCGAUUUAUCGUUUGACUGAACGACCGAAUAUCCUUUUAAAAUUUCAAUGCAUAAGUUUUGGAAAUUAUGAGAUGAUUUUGGUAUCGAAGGUUCGAAAUGUCGUGUCCUACGUGCUGGAUGUGAUAUUUUAUUUCUUCAAAACAAGAGAAUCUUAAUAUCCACUUCGAGUUAUCCAAACGUUCAUAAAAAGGGAUCGUAUUUUAAAAUUUAUUUGAAAAUCUUUUCAUCUUUCGACUUUAAGACGUUAAUUAAUCGAUUAGGUACCAAUUUUGGGAGUGACGAGGGUGCUAACCCUUCCUCGCACGUAACCGAAUCCCGAACCCGUUCUCUCAAGUUUCAUAGACCAAAAACGUAGUUUUAGUAAACUAAAAUAUUUUAUUAAAACAAAGGUGAUCCGAUCACACCUAAUAACGAUCGGUGGCGACUCUCAUUCUUCGUUUUCAAAAUCAAGUCGACCCUAUUUUUCAAAAAAAAUAGUUUCGACAAAGGGCAUGACUCAUUUUAUUAUUUAUUUAUUUAUAAUACUUUAGUCUUUAUUGGGUGAAAUUAUUGAAAUAAAACACUAUUACCCAUGAAUUAAAACAUCGAUUAUGGAAAUUAAUUAGUGAAUAUUUUUGAAAUUUUAAAUAAACAAAUUUCUUAAAUUUCUUAUUUGCAAAUAUUAACCUUGUGGAAAUUGAUAAAUAUUAAUAGUGUAUCAAUAUAAUUAUAAACUAUAUUCUUAGUGAUAAUUAUACCAUGUUCUUCGUAUAUAAAUUAGUGAUAAUUAUAUUACACUCUGAAUAAAUUUGUCAAGUCGCAUAUUUCAGUUAAUAUAAAGUUGCAUAAGAAAUCAUUUUACAUAACUAAAUUGAAAAUAAGUUAAGAGUAUAUAAAUAUUUAAGGAAUAGAUAUAUGUGGCAAAGGGAGUAAUUUUUUAACAAGCAUAUAGCAAAGGGAAUAGUUUUUUAGCAAACAGGGUGAGAUAUCUCAUUCUCAAUCAAUUAUGAACAAAAUUACCAAUCCCAACAUUUUUAAAAUUGAAUUAGAAAGGAGAUUGUAUUAAAAAUUACAGUUUUUAUAGGUUUAUCUUGAUGUUGAUACAUUGCUUAAAGCAUUUUCAUAAGUUUUCAUAAUUAUGUUUGAAUAUUAAAAAAUAUGAUAUGAGAAAAAGUAGUGAAUUAUUUGGUGCUCAUGGUUUUACAUUCUGAAAUAGUAAUGAUUUACAAUAAUCGCUGCAUGUUUAUGUAAUUUUUCUUCCAUCAGAUCCUAUCCUUAUAUAUUUUUGAUUGGUUGAAGCACGUUUUUUGGCUAAAAUUAUAACUAUUUUUCCAUUUAAAUAUUUAAAGUUUUUUUUUUGGUUAAAAAUGAUAUAUAAACGGUCAAUUUUAUCUUAUUUGCCUCAAAAUAUAUUACCAGUUAAUAAGAAUGAGACAUGAGUUGUAUAGCACUUUUGAUAAUAAUAAAAAAGAGUAAACAUUAAAAAUAAUUAGUUUUAUUUGUUUCAGGUUACAUUUUAGUCACUUAUGUUUGAAAUGUUAUGUUUUAAUCACUCACGUUAUCGUUUUAUUACAAAGUGGUAACUCUACCAUUAGACUCUAUUAUCUCCCUAAUAGCAGUUUUAUAUGGCAGUCCAAAUGGGUUUUAAAUGCCAACUUAGAUGUCCAGUUGUUGGAAUGAAAAUAUGUUUUUAAUUAAAUAAACUUAAUUUGGAUUUCCAUGUAGGACAUCCAAGUCUAUAUUUAAAAUCAAUUUGGACUGCCACGUAAGACAGUCGUUAGGGAGCCAACGGAGUUUAACAGUAGAGUGACCACUUCGUAAUAAAACAAUAACAUAAGUAUAACAUAUCAUUUCAAACAUAAGUGACUAAAAUGUAAUUUGAGGUAAACAAAAGUGGCAUUUUUGUACUUUACCCCAAAAAUAAGUAUUUAACUAGGAAAGCAAUAUAUUUUGGGUUUAAUUUUAUAAUUAAGUUAAUUUUUUUUUUAAAAAAAAUUCGAUGAAUUAUAAGAGGAGGGUAAAACCCUAACAACAACACGACUAGCACAGCUCGAGUCUAGAUCACAUUUGAGAUGGUGAAUUAUUCCAGAUAAUUUUGCUCCGACACAAGUAACUCCAUGUCUCGAAAUAAGUUUACUAUUAUUUUAGAUAAUUUUGCUCUGAUGUUGCAAUGUUUCAAGACAUAAGGGUCUAUGUAUCAAGACAAAGGCCUUCAGUUCUCGAGACUAACCUCCAUUGUUUUCUUAAUUUACCUUUGAUGUUUGGCUAUCUCGAGACAAGAGAUUCAUGUCUCGAAACUUGGAAUAAAAAAAUCUUUUAAAUUCGAUGUGUCAUUGUCUCAAGACAAAUACAAAGGUCACUUUAUCUAGAAACCUAAGCUAAAGCAAUACACCAUGUAGUAGAAUUUGUUCUUGGAGUUCUAAAACUCUAAGUUAAAUUAACUUAAAAUGUACAUUUCAAAUGCAUUCAAACCUCAACCAAAAUAUGCCUAAACUCUGCCUCAACUCAAACACAUGCACUUAACAUAUGAAACAUAUUCAAACAUCAUCUAGUCAUUGCAUUCAAUGCAUCACUAUCCAACAAGGUAAAUAACAUAAUCAAACACAUAUAAUCAUACAUAAUUAUCUACUAAUCAAGAAUUGAAAUUCAUCUCCCAAAAUAUUAUAAAUCAAGCUACCAAAAUAUGCUAAAAACAUUAAAAUAAACGUGAAGUCACAAGGCCAACCUAGGUACUCGCACGUAUAUACAUACAAAAUAGGCACAACUUGACUUCCGAGUUGAGCUUCUAAGUUGGAUGCUUACUGACUUAUGAUCUACUUUAGUAUUCAUUUAAGACCUGCAUAUGAAUACAAACAAAACCGUACGCUAAGUAAUAUAUACACAAUGGUACUAACAUAAUUUGAAAUUAGUAAACAAAUGUAGUAAUAAUCAAAUAACAUGCUAAGUACGUGAAUUUAUAUAUAAUCAAGUUUUAUUUCAUGAUCUAUAAUUCAUAUAAACAUAUAUUCAACUAAACCAUUACACCUCCCAAAGUAUUUCAUAGUUACAUAUCAUAUAAUCAUAUCCAUAUCAAUGUAAUGCUUGCAUUUACAUAUCGAAGUUUUGAUGCACCCUCAGGGUGUUUGUAUCUAUUUACUCAUACCAAAAUUAUAUCUUAUAGUCACAUUUAAAUAAUACUUAUACUUAGCAUACAAUUUUUACAUUUUAAUCUCUAUUAACAAAAUCAGAUUCAAUGACGUAUGCUUGAAUCGAUCCACCAACACAACAGUAUAUGUAUAGAAGUGCUAAUCAGACACAAAUCCAACAAUCCCACCAACCACACCAGAAUACGUUUGUACCCUUAAGGUAUUUAAGAUGGUGACACAUUCUUGACCCCUAAGGUAUUGGAGAACUAUCACAAUAUAGUACGCGCAUACCGCUGAAUCUCCCACCUAUCAAAAUUGGAUCCUAUGGCAUGUUAACUAUACUCAUAACUCUAUCUAACAAUGUUAAUAGGACAUUUUUCCAUUAUAAAUUAUUACAGACUUAUUUCCAAUAGUAACACAUAACAAACAAAUACAUAUCUAAUUAACAUCUCAAGUAGUCACAUAUACAUAUAUUUACUUAUCUUACCUCAAUCAUAUCAAACAAUAAAGAAUAUAUGUAUCUCUUGGUCACGUCUGAUAUUAACAUUCCUUUGAAUUUCUAUCCGGUUAUUGAAUUAUGUAAAUAUAUAUAUAUUGAAAUCGAAUUAUGAAAGCACACGGGAAAAAUAGGUCAUUUGUCUAGAUAUUUCACUUUUCUUUUGUCGCGUGAAGGUCCUAUGUCGUCUGGCCUUCGAAGCUUACGGCAAUGAUGAAAGCUUAGAGAAAGUUUUUCUUUUACUUUUCUUUUGUUAUCUUAACCGAUUUGAUGAGGAAGACAAAUAAGCUUUCUCUUUCAUCCCACUUUCCUUCAUAUUUACAUGUAUAAUUAACAUAAUUUUUUUUAACUUAGUUAACUCACUAAUUUAAUGAUUAAUUAAACGAUGGUAGAAAAUGAUGAUAUAAUUUGCACUUAACAUCAACAUGAAUUAUAAAUGAUUUAAUUACUCUAAAUUCCUUAAUAAAAUUACAUAUUGAGCCCAUUUUAAUUUCUUUUAAUCAAUUUCUUCUAUUUUAUUCAUUCCACGAUAUAGUCUCUAUACGAUAAUUAACAAUUUAUCUAAUCUAAUCCCACUUAACAAUCUGAGCAUAAAAUUCCAUAUUCAACACAUAAGCAUUCGAUUCUAAUUUUUAGGUACUUCAACUUAAUUUAAAUCAACUUCGAACUAAUUUUUUGACACAAACGAAAAUUAGGUCAUUACACCAAAUGUGGUAGAGAAAAGGGAGAUAGAAACAUUAUUUUUCAAGUAAAUGAGAAAUAGGUAAGACUUCAGAAUGUUACCAUUGAAGAUCUUCAGAAGUAAGUUGCCUUGCUUACUCAGAACUUUAGUAUUAGUAAGACUUUUUAAGAAGUAGGUAAGAAAAUUCAAGAUAUUUGAAACUAGUAUCAAUAUUCUCAAUAAUAAUCAAUAUUUCCAAGAAUAAGUCAAAAGGAAAUUAUCAUUAAGGAGGAACCUGAAGACUAGAACACUGUGAAUAACUCCAUUAUUUUUAAUUCACAAUACAACAAGUGAAUCACACUCUAUCACUCCCCAAGCAUAGAGUUCUCACCUUUGUACCUAAAGACUAAAACACUCACCUCUAAAUCCUCCCCUAAGAAUUUAGACUAUAAACACAACUUGUUUACUCUCAAUUACAUUCACAAAUAUGUUUUUCAAUGAACAGAUAGAUGCUCACCAUAUUUCAUACAUAAACCAAGAUAUAAUAUAUCAAUAAAGUCCAAUAUAAAGUAGAAUCCUUAAAGAUAUGUCUUCAGUGCGGUCCCAAUCAAACCUUCAUAUUUCAAGAGAUUUGAUUGUUUGAUCUAGUCCGAACUAAUCUUCAAAGAUUUGUUACUCCAUAAGAUAGAUCUUCAAAUAUGAGUUAGCAUAUGUCCAUAUCUUCUUGGGUUACAUAUCUCAAUAUACAAGGUAAGUAAAUUACAUAAAAAUCCUUAAAAAAUAAUCUUGUUUGAUUCAAUCUAUUCUCUAAUAAUAAACACGAAAUUAGCUUCACAAAAUCUUAAAAAAAAUAAGUAAAUCAUCGAAAUAUAUUGGUUAAGCAUAACAACAAAUAAGAUAAAUUAUGUAAAUGACGCAAUAUUAACCUGCUGGCCAACCACUUCCAAAACUUACCACAAUAGCUUUAUUAUUUAUUAAUUUAUUUAACAUCUGGUCUUCAGGUAUACUCCAAUACACCGAAAAAAAAAUAUGACCCUCUUUCUCACGCUAUUACUAAUUAGUUAAGGUAAACAAUUACUUUAUCAUUAAGAUUAUUGUAAACAAGUUUUGUACUUUCUGGGUGUUUUUAUGAUCCGGUUUUAAGAUUAUCAUCAAGAUCUUUUGAUGUUGGAAUCUUUUGCCUUGGAUUGAUUUGAUUUUAGAUGAUUCACUAGUGGUGUCAAUUGGUCAUAUCUAUUGCAUUUUGAUACUUCCCUUCAGUUUCCUAGCAUUGAUUAGUCACAGCGAAACACUGCAAAAACCAAUAUUCUAACCGUAAUGAAUGGUGGAUGAUUGUAUGUUGUUAUACAAAUCAGUAGCAAGCAUGCAUCCAUGCGGGGGUUGCCCAACGAAUCAGUGAUACCACCCCGCAGCACAUCAGAAGUGCUUAUAGUCAAUUAAGAUUAUCAGAAGUGCUUAUAGUCAAUUAAGAUUUUUCACCAUAACCAAGUAUCUAAAGAAACUCUCGUAAUGGUUCAUUUGCAUGGAUGCAUUAUGUUACCCUUUUUCGGAGUGAUUCGUCUCAUCGAAAUUCUAUAAAAAGAUCCAUCAUCCUAAUCGGAAUGAAUGAUGAAUGAUUGCAUAUUGAUUUGUAAAUUCACUGGCAAGCUAGCAUCUUUUUUCCUAUGACAGCAAAGGUUGAGCUUGAUGCCCGUUUGAUGUUUUGCCCGCACAAAUUUUGGGGCUGAAACCUAUUGCCAAUUGCUGAAUAUUCUGUCAUUUUCUGCCUUUUUAAUGAAAAACCACGUUGGAACAAAGAAGGUUUUAGAUUUACAUUGGAGCUGCUAUGCUACCACGUAAACCAGAUAAACCCCGUGAACUUUUAGCCCUUUCAAUUUUGCCACCUCAGCUAUUAUCCUCUGCCAUUUCUGAACCACGGAUUCAGAUAGAUGAUGCAAAUAAGAGCUAUAUCAGCUCUCCCCAUCUAAGAAUUAUGACCCAUCAAAUCAUAUCAUUAAAUUUCAGCCCCAGAUAGGGACCCAAAAGGGCAAAAGUCCGCGACACGGAUGUUGAACAUGGGUGCAUUAGAAAAUCGAAGAGUUCGAACAAACAAUCAUAUAACCCAAUGAAGCACAUAAAGGACUGAGAAACAAAGUCAUUAUGAAUCCAAUACUCAAAUGCAGAAAGAAAUUUUAUUAUAUAAAGGCUAUGAAAGCCUAAGCAUAUCAACUUACAACAGCAAGCUAUUUUGGAUAGAGUGGAAACAUAAAAGCUUCCCCUUGGACAAAGAUCAUAGUGCACAAACUAAAUACGACAAAAUAAAUAAUCUUAAACUGAUAUUUGUUGAUACUUUUUGGAUUCAAUGCCAUUAGCAUAGCUAUAUCAUAAUAAAACUUGGUUCCAAAGCAAGUUUACUUCAUUCUUUGCCGUCAGCAGCACGAAGUGACCCGAGCUGGACCGGUGCUUGGGUUCCUACCACCUUAGAUGAUCCAUAAACAGAUAGAUCAAUGCCUUGAGCCUUCUCUUUCUCAAUCUGUUCCUUGAUCCAG